AUACGGAGGGUGCAAGCGUUGUUCGGAAUUACUGGGCGUAAAGGGCGCGCAGGCGGUUUGGUAAGUCAGAUGUGAAAGUCCAGGGCUUAACCCUGGAAGUGCAUAUGAAACUGUCAGACUUGAGUAUCAGAGGGGAAAGUGGAAUUCCCGGUGUAGAGGUGUAAUUCGUAGAUAUCGGGAGGAAUACCGGUGGCGAGGGCGACUUUCUGGCUGAAUACUGACGCUGAGACGCGAAAGCGUGGAGAGCAAACAGAAUUAGAAACCCUAGUAGUCC
rnacentral:rRNA from 1 species